rnacentral:rRNA from 1 species
CCUACGGGAGGCAGCAGUGAGGAAUAUUGGUCAAUGGACGGAAGUCUGAACCAGCCAUGCCGCGUGCAGGAAGACGGCUCUAUGAGUUGUAAACUGCUUUUGUACAAGGUUAAACCUGAAUACGUGUAUUCAGCUGCAAGUACUUUACGAAUAAGGAUCGGCUAACUCCGUGCCAGCAGCCGCGGUAAUACGGAGGAUCCAAGCGUUAUCCGGAUUUAUUGGGUUUAAAGGGUGCGUAGGCGGAUUGAUAAGUUCGAGGUGAAAUGUCUGAGCUUAACUCGGGAACUGCCUCUAAUACUGGUGAGCUAGAGAGUAGAUGAGGUAGGCGGAAUGUAUGGGGUAGCGGUGAAAUGCUUAGAGAUCAUACAGAAAACCGAUUGCGAAGGCAGCUUAACAAUAUAGAGCUGACGUUGAGGCACGAAAGCGUGGGGAGCAAACAGGAUUAGAUACCCCGAGUAGUC